CUUCUGGCUCAAGCAAUCCUUCCUUUCUUUCUUCUUUCCUUGCCUUCCUUCUCUAGCUCUCUCCUGAAUUCAUGCAUUCAUUCUUUCACUUACUUAUUUAGAUACAUGGUCUUGCUACAAAGCUCACACUGGCUUCAAACUCAUUUUGUAAACCCUGCUAGCACAGAACUUAGCCUGCUGAAUGCUGAGUUAUGGGCCACUAAGUUAUGUGCCACUAAAGCCAGCAAAAUUUAUACCACUUUCAAUUCUAUUUUGCAAUAAGCAUUCAAAUAGCAUAUCAAGUGGAAAAAAAAGUUUGAAAGCCAUCAUUACUAAAGUAAGGCAGUAACUAAGAAUCUAAUGUGUCUGGCAUUCACUUGUGUGAAUAAAUGCAAAAUAAAAUCAACAGUGUGGUAAAUCUGAACAUAUUGUACCUGCCACCCAUAUCAUGAUCUCAAGUUUAAACCAAUGAAACUACUGUAUUCAUAUUAUUUUAAAUCACAUAAAAUUCCUCGCUGGAAAGCAAAACUACAGCAUAUUCCUUGGCAAUAAUAUAAGAAGAAGUAGAAGAGAUGAAAGCACAAACAAUGAUGAAAAGGCUUCAUCUCUCAUAACAACAUCUCUCCAUUUCCAUCAUACAAAAAUGUCUAUCACCACCAUGUGCACCACUCCAUUACCUCCCAGGAAUUCUUCCACAGAACCACUUGAAGCUCCAGGGAAGGCUAGCACUCUCAAUUUCAGCAUAUGAGAGGUCAGAUCAGGAGCAAAAAGAAAAUUUAUCACCCAAGGUCCUCCAGUGUCAUAAACUAUAGAGUUGACGCUGUAAACACAUCAAUUUUCAUUGGUUCUAAUAAUUGUUAAUUGACACAUAAAAGUCUUAUGUAUUUGUGGGAAUGAUAUGCGAUUCUGACAUGGUUCUUAAGAUAUAAUAAAGGAAAUUUCUACAUUUAGAAGGCUAAAUAAUUAAAUAAAUGUCACACUGGUUUUCAAGGACCAUUUGUAGGAAAUUAGAAAGCCCAUGAACACAACAGUCACACAAUAAAUACUUGCUAAAGAAUGAACUGAUGAACUGACUGACCAGGCUGCCAAGGAGAGGCCACUAUGGGGCUGAGACAAGGAAAAUACAAGAUGACCUAGGAACACCUUACUAUUCCAGAAAGAAAGAACCAAGGAAUGAUGAGGAAAUAACAAGACAGAGGAGUCAGCUCAAAAGAGGUGAAAGCUGGAAUACUUUUAGCCAAAAUAAUUAAUGAUAAGCCAAGUGCAUUAAUGCAUGCCUGUAGUCCUAGCUCCCUCAGGGAGGAUUGCUUCAACCCAUAAGUUCAUGCCUGCCAGAACAAAACACUAAGACUUGUCUGGUUCAAAAACAGCUGUGGCUCUUGUACUUUUCACAAAUGUCAGGGUGAUGAAAGGUAAGAGUGAACAACUACUACAGGCUGAAGUGGAAUGAAGAAAAAUGGUAAGCACACUAACCACAUGAGCUUGAUUGGAUCUUAGAUCUACAAAUGAUAUUUCUGGGACAAUCAGUAAAAUUUGAAUAGAGUCUGAGUAGUAAAUGGUAAUUUCAAUCACAUUAACUUCCUGAUGGGAGAAUGUCAGUGCACUUAAGAAAUAUUUGACGAAGUACUAAAGACUAAUGGAACGUCACAUCCAUAAACCUCUAGAAAUGCUAACAAUGCAGUAUCUUAGGAAAUAAUACAUUGGAGGUUUAUGUACUAUCUCUACAAAUUUUACUUACAUCAGAAAUUAAUGCCAAGGUUUAAAAAUUAUAGGAAUGAGAAUGCAAAAUAGGCUAUGAUAUAAUACUAACAAGCAGACCAAACAUGCUGUGCAUGGGCUACAACUAACAGCCAUCUAUGCACUGCAGAAUCAGGACUACAUCUCUCCUAGAGCACAGACUCCUAGAUACUGAGUCUGCUUUACAGCAAAUGUGGCUCUCUCAGUACCAAGGUAAAUGGAUUGUCUCUUCAAUAAAUAAUACCAGGUUAACCGCAUAUCCAUACAUUUAAAAAGAAGAAAAAUUGCAAAUUCUGAUAUCACACAUAACACUUGAUUUCCUCAAUUAGAAAAAUAAAAUAAUAAAGCUUGCAAAAAUAAUGUGGUUAUCUCCAAAAUCUUGUAUGAGACAAGAUUUCUGAAAUAGUAUACAAAAAAGACCACUGGCCAAGAGAGUAUUCAUAUUUAUUAGAAUAAAGAAUUUCUCUUCACCAAAAACUGCUAUUGGAAGUAUGAAAAGACUCUGUAAUACACAUACAUAACAAGGUUAUAAUUCCAAUAUAUGUAAAAAAAAUCUCAUGU